CAGAUAUUCGUAUAAUAUAAAAACAAAAGACCAGAGAACAGCUGGAUAACUUACACUUCUUGUUAUUACCUAGGAGAGGAAGAAAGAGGCACGCUGUUUCUCCUGGAAACUUCCCAGUUCCCAGCAUUGUUAGGACUUGAAGCCUUGAAAUGUGGACAUAAUCCCAUCCCUCCAGGAUGACCAGAGAACACAGAAAGAUGAAUAAAUCUGCUAACAUUUUUGAAGACCCAAUUUCUUACUUACUGGGAGAUACAAAUGUGAAUAAGGAAAGGUAACAGGGAGGAUGCCUGGAAGGAAAGUGCUGCCGCAGAGAGGAGUGGAUUAGGUGAGUUAUGAACAAAAGUGAGCUAGCAGGCUAUGAGGCAGAGUAAGGAAAGAAGUUUGCCAUUUCUCACGGAUCAAGGGAGGGACACAGAAAUGACUCCAUAACGGAAAUGGAGAUGGCGGAGAACGAAUGCAGAGGUCCCAUCACAUAUAGACUCCGAUGGCAAAUAUUCUCCUACUAAUUUAACAACGAAUCUCUUUUGCAAUCUGAAGAGUAUUAAUAGUUUAGCAAGGUCCUGAAAUAGUUAUUUGAAAUUUCUUUUCAUAUUAUUUUAAAG
rnacentral:lncRNA from 13 species